rfam:Oryza brachyantha chromosome 3, whole genome shotgun sequence.
AAUGCAGGAUUGUGUGUAUCGGCUUUACGCUGCUUGUGUGCUGUGCGUUCUUGCCGAAAGUGUUUCCUGCUAAACAAAUUUUGAGGAAAGUGGGCAGUUGGGUUAAGCUUGUUAUCUGCUUUUUUCAACAAUCAUUUUCCCCCCAUGU